UACGUAGGGUGCGAGCGUUAAUCGGAAUUACUGGGCGUAAAAGCGUGCGCAGGCGGCGCGUUAAGACAGGUGUGAAAGCCCCGAGCUUAACUUGGGAAUUGCGCUUGUGACUGGCGUGCUGGGAGUGUGGCAGAGGGAGGUGGAAUUCCACGUGUAGCAGUGAAAUGCGUAGAGAUGUGGAGGAACACCGAUGGCGAAGGCCAGCCUCCUGGGCCAGCACUGACGCUCAUGCACGAAAGCGUGGGGAGCAAACAGG
rnacentral:rRNA from 1 species